AGAUGAAUAACAGAGUGAUUCUCCUUUGGCAGGGAAACAUUAGUAGUGUUCAUGCCGGUUACGCUGUAUAUGAUAUUCCUGCCAAGGGAGAAUUGCCCUGUUAUUCACCC
rfam:Macleaya cordata isolate BLH2017 scaffold8439, whole genome shotgun sequence.